rnacentral:tRNA from 1 species
AAUGAAGUGCCUGAAUAAAGGAUUACUGUGAUAGAGUAAAUCAUGUAAAUUUUUAAUUACCUUCAUUA